rnacentral:rRNA from 1 species
AUUGAACGCUGGCGGCAUGCUUUACACAUGCAAGUCGAACGGCAGCACGGGCUUCGGCCUGGUGGCGAGUGGCGAACGGGUGAGUAAUAUAUCGGAACGUACCCAAGAGUGGGGGAUAACGUAGCGAAAGUUACGCUAAUACCGCAUACGAUCUAUGGAUGAAAGCGGGGGAUCGCAAGACCUCGUGCUCCUGGAGCGGCCGAUAUCUGAUUAGCUAGUUGGUGAGGUAAAGGCUCACCAAGGCGACGAUCAGUAGCUGGUCUGGGAGGACGACCAGCCACACUGGAACUGAGACACGGUCCAGACUCCUACGGGAGGCAGCAGUGGGGAAUUUUGGACAAUGGGCGCAAGCCUGAUCCAGCAAUGCCGCGUGAGUGAAGAAGGCCUUCGGGUUGUAAAGCUCUUUUGUCAGGGAAGAAACGGUAGGGGCUAAUAUCCCUUGCUAAUGACGGUACCUGAAGAAUAAGCACCGGCUAUCUACGUGCCAGCCGCCGCCGCCGUAA